AGUGAACGCUGGCGGUAGGCCUAACACAUGCAGGUCGAACGGCAGCACAGUAAGAGCUUGCUCUUACGGGUGGCGAGUGGCGGACGGGUGAGGAAUACAUCGGAAUCUACUUUUUCGUGGGGGAUAACGUAGGGAAACUUACGCUAAUACCGCAUACGACCUACGGGUGAAAGCAGGGGAUCUUCGGACCUUGCGCGAUUGAAUGAGCCGAUGUCGGAUUAGCUAGUUGGCGGGGUAAAGGCCCACCAAGGUGACGAUCCGUAGCUGGUCUGAGAGGAUGAUCAGCCACACUGGAACUGAGACACGGUCCAGACUCCUACGGGAGGCAGCAGUGGGGAAUAUUGGACAAUGGGCGCAAGCCUGAUCCAGCCAUACCGCGUGGGUGAAGAAGGCCUUCGGGUUGUAAAGCCCUUUUGUUGGGAAAGAAAAGCAGCAGGUUAAUACCCCGCUGUUCUGACGGUACCCAAAGAAUAAGCACCGGCUAACUUCGUG
rnacentral:rRNA from 1 species